rnacentral:rRNA from 1 species
AUUGAACGCUGGCGGCAUGCCUUACACAUGCAAGUCGAACGGCAGCACGGGUGCUUGCACCUGGUGGCGAGUGGCGAACGGGUGAGUAAUAUAUCGGAACGUACCUUAUCGUGGGGGAUAACGCAGCGAAAGCUGUGCUAAUACCGCAUAAGUCCUAAGGGGGAAAGCAGGGGACCGUAAGGCCUUGCGCGAUUAGAGCGGCCGAUACCUGAUUAGCUGGUUGGUGAGGUAAAGGCUCACCAAGGCAACGAUCAGUAGCUGGUCUGAGAGGACGAUCAGCCACACGGGGACUGAGACACGGCCCAGACUCCUACGGGAGGCAGCAGUGGGGAAUUUUGGACAAUGGGGGCAACCCUGAUCCAGCAAUGCCGCGUGAGUGAAGAAGGCCUUCGGGUUGUAAAGCUCUUUUGUCAGGGAAGAAACAGCAGCUCUAAUACAGUAUGCGAAUGACGGUACCUGAAGAAUAAGCACCGGCUAACUACGUGCCAGCCGCCGCGGUAA